UUGGAGGACCAUUGCAGAGUAAUGACCUUCCUCCGGAAAUUUAUAGAAGAUGGCACUCCGGAAGUCCUAAAGAAUUUGCUCACAUUCUGGACUGGCUGGGGUGUGGUUUCCUCAAACUUGGAGGUGGAACUCAUCAAUUGUGCCCUACCACAAUCAUCAACUUGUUUUUUGACUCUGAAGCUGUCAAAGAACGUAACCAGCUAUGAAGACUUUGUUGAUGACCUGAUGGCAAGCAUAUCCUCCUCCUACUCUGGAUUCGGUCAGAUUUGAGCACUGAUAGAGACAAAGGUUCAGGUCUCUUUAGUUUUAUCUGUUCACAAGCCCUAAUAGAAACAGUGACACAGCAAGUUCAGAUAUCAUUUAAUUGUAUUUGUUCAAAGCGCUGGUAGAGAUACAGACAAAUUAUUCUUUUCAUUUAGUUAUAUGGAGGUCACGAUAUUUUAUUUUUGAAUACCAGACCACUCUGUGUGAGGCACCUUUCUUGUGCAUGCAUGCUCACAAGGCAUAGUUGUUAAUAAAAACAUUUUGCAAAUUAA